CACAGCCUUAGAGGGGAAUGAGGCUCAGUAGGAUUAGUGGCAGGAUGCUGUGUAAUAUAUUGGUGCUCUCCCUGGUCCCCGCGCCCAGGGAAGUUGUCUGAGGGGAUGCCAAUGAUGAUGGCGGAGUCGCCGCCUGCCUUCAACCUCCACCAGCGCCCUCGCCCACCGAAUUCUCCUGACGACAUAGGCACGUGCUGGCGGGGGAGGCCCGGCGUGAGGUGAGUUUGAACUCCAACGGACAACCGCCGUCCGCGGACGAAAGCCGCCGGGAAGCGGAAACGGCCGUUUGCCUGCCGGAGCUCGCCGCUUUCAGGGCGGGGAAGAGACCGCUCAGCCCGCAACUUUUGAAGGCGCCGAGGCCGCUCGCGAACACGUAAACUUUUCGCACGCGAAAGGGAUCUUGUGGGCGGCUCCCCGGCGGCCUCUCUCCCUGGCUCCGGCUCCCUCCUAGAAGCCCAUGGGCUUCUCGUACUUCGCGGAGGCCGAGGCCUCGUGGAAGGCGAGGGGCGACUUAAACCUCAGCUUGCCCGCCCCGGGCCCCGGCCGCCGGACCUACAUUUCGAUGCGCCAUAACCAUGACGACGACGCCGAUUUGUAUUACGACAGCUACCACCUCAUCGCGAAGAAGCGGCCGAUGAUUGUGCUCGUGGUUUUUAUGAGCUUCCUCUUGGGAGCCCUGUUACGAACAAUUAUCAAAGAAGUAAAAAUUCCUAUUCUGGUAAUUGUAUGUUUAGUAGGAACUGGCAUUGGAACAAUACCCCAUUUUUCAGCUCAGAUUCCUAUUGUGAAGAGCAUUGCAGAUAUAGAUCCUGUACUUUUCCUUCAUUUGUUUACACCAGUUAUAAUAUUUACAGCUGCAUUUGAGAUGGAUUUUUAUAUAUUUCGAAAAUCAUUUUGGCAGGUGUUAAUUCUUGCAGUUCCUGGAUUUUUGAUGAACUGUGCUUUCCUUGGAUGGUUAACUUAUAAAAUUAAUAAGUAUAAUUGGUCCUGGGAUGAUAGCAUGCUAUUUGGAAUAAUUCUUAGCACAACAGACCCUAUCCUUUCUGUGGCUUCUGUAAGAAACAUUGGGCUUUCAAAAAUAGUUGUCAACUUAAUAAAAGGCGAGUCUUUGUUUAAUGAUGCUACAACAGUAAUAAUUUUUGAGUUAUAUAGGGAUCUUGCAAAACAAACUCACCAAGAAUUGAUUAAAGAAAUUUUUAUAAAGUUGAUUUUAAAAUUUUUUGCAAGCACUGCUUUGGGAUUUUUUACUUCAAGAUUAGUUAGUUAUUGGUUGCAACAUAUUUUCAAUGAUGGAGUAGUUGAAAUAAUUGUAAGCUUCUCAAUGGCAUACAUUAUUUUCUUCAUCGCUGAAUGGCUUGGAAUGUCUGGAGUUAUUGCUAUUUGUAUUUUGGGCCUUCUUUUAGAUACUGUAAGCUUUAGUCCAGGAUUGGAUAUAUUUCUUUAUAAGUUCUGGUCAAUGUUGACCUUUUUGGCUCACAUUAUGAUAUUCCUUAUAACGGGAAUUGUGUUGGCUCAGAAGGCAUUUCCAUUUUUUAAUUCUCGUGCUAUUUUUUAUAUUAUAACAGUCUACCUUUCAUUAAAUCUUACAAGGGGUUUGGUUGUUUUUGUGUUGAGCCCUUUUUUGAGUCGUCUUGGCUAUGGAUUUAAUUGGCGUUGGGGAGCUGUUUUGAUUUGGAGCGGAAUGAGGGGCACCUUCACUUUGAACAUGGCUCUUGGAAUUAGCCAAACAGAAAGCAAAACUCCAAAUGAGUUUCAAAUUAAAACCAUGUUAUUACUGCAUUCAGGAACUGCGUCUUUGUUGACCUUGAUGAUUAAUUCUACCACUGUGAAAAGGCUGGUUACAACACUAGGCCUUUGUAAUAUUACUCUUCCAAAACGUAUGGCAAUGCAUAACGCUGUUCAGCGAAUCAGACAAAUGGAAGCCAAUGCAUUUGCAAUGCUGAAACUUGAUAGAUUUUUGGCUGAUGCAAAGUGGACAAUGGCUGAAGAAGCAAUUAAAAUAGAUUAUCCUUAUAAAUUAGAUUCAGAAGAAGUUGAUCAACUGAUCAAAUCACUUAGGUGUCCAGAAUGUGACGCCAAUGUUACAUUUGAAGGAAGUUCUCAACAAAUUGCUGACAUAAUGGAAGAAGCCAGAUUGCGUCUUUUAACGGCACAAAUAGCCAGUUAUCAGAAGCAAUACAACAGUGGAAUGCUGAACCAAGAUGCUGCCCAAACAUUAAUAGGUGCAGCAGAAAGCUAUGUUGAUAUUGAAGGAAAGUUUAUGAAUAUUCAUGAAGUAAAGACCUAUUGGGAAAGCAAAGGAGUGCUGGUAAAGUUGAAGAAAUUGCUAUCUGAUUGGGUUUACAGCGUGAAAGAGGAAACAUUUAAGGCACCAAAAAACAAGUUUUUAAGAAUGUGCCACCAUAUGGUAUUCAUGGAUGAAUUUGAAUAUAUAAGUACCAUGAUGACAUUUUUGAACUGUGUUCCUAUCGGUCUUCACUUUAUACCAAAGUAUUCUUCAACAUUUAUUCUAGAACUAAAAGUGUGCAACUACUAUUAUCUGGCUUUGUAUAUAUUGGAAGCAUUAUUUAAGGCUUUUGCAAUGGGGAGGACCUACAUCUUUUACCACUGGAACCAGUUUGAUCUUAUAAUCAUAGUAGUGGGAGUUGUAGAUGUCAUGAUUAUUAACCUCUUUAAAACACUCAGUACAACGUAUCAUAUGAUUAAUACUAUCAGGAUAUUUCGGUUUAUUCGUGUUUUAAGAAUUCUGCGGCUCUUUAAGCUUGUGAUACCUAGAACGAUUUAUUUAUUGGACAAGCAAAUAAACAGACAGCUCACUUUCCGGUAUGAUAUCGCUAAAGGAUAUGUUCAAGGUGAAGAAGAUACAAAUUGUUUAAUUGGACAGAUUGCUGGCCAUGAGAGAGUUUAUCAAGAAAUACAUAGAAUAUUGGAAAUGAACAAACAAGAGGCUAUGAAAGAGUUAGGGUUAAUGCAGCGUGAUUAUCCAGAGAUUGUCACAGGCGUGAAAACCAAACAAGCAGUCCAAACAGUGCUAAACACAGCUUCUGAAACUCUAAAGUUUAUGAUAUCGGGAGGAAUUGUUGACAAAACUGAAGGUGCUGAACUACAUAAGAUGAUUCUAAUUAAAAAACAACAGCUUGCAACACUUCCAUCUACAAUUGCACCUCCUACUGCACAAGAACUUCUGCGUAAUGUAAUUUGGCUACAGAAUGACAAAAAACAGGUAGAAUACAUUCAGAGAAAAGCAAAAAUUCUUUAUUAUGAUUAUGGAGAUAUGAUAUGUGAGGAAGGUGAAUUACCACAAGGAAUCCAUUUAAUUGUAUCAGGAAUGAUAAAGCUUUCUGGUUCCAUUCCUCGUUAUGGAGUUAGCAAAGAAGCUUUUAAAGAAAUCCGCGCACGUCUUCCAGUCACUUCCUAUACAGACUACCUGGUUGCUGGGGCUAUAAUAGGAGAACUCAACUGCCUGACGAAGCAAGAAAUGGAGUAUGGAGUUACAUGUGAAACUGCUGUGCAGACAUGUUUUAUCUCUAUAGAUGAUUUGCUAGAAGCUUUUGAUAAGUUUUUGGAACCCCCCUCCCUAGAAUAUAAAAUAUGGCUGAAACUUGCUCUUGAUAUUGCUCUCAGAACUUUCAAGGAAAACCUUCCUAACCAGGACUGGAAUUACAAGAUGUGUGUGCAACUUUCCAAUAUUUAUUUGCUGGAUGUACCAAACCACACCAAAUGUGACAUUUUUGAUGGGAGUAUGGAUGAGGUCAUUCUUGUACACGGAACUGUUCUAGAUUGUCAACUAGGGCAGCGUUACUAUGCACCAUUUCUUUUACCUAAAACCUGCCAUCAGGUACAAGGCACUGCAUCAUCAACAAAACUGCUGGUUGUACGAAGUUCAGAGCAAGGAGCACGAAAGAACCCUGCAGCAUCCUCAAGCAGCACUGAGGGCCACUAUCAUUCAUCUCGGCGACCUGGUAUGAAACUCAAACUCUCAGCCAUGCAGGAAGAGGAGAAUGGAGCAGGGAGGGAGGACAUAAAAUUGGCAGUACUCAUCAUAGGAGUUGCAUGGGAGAUAGGAGGAGGAAUUGGCCAGAAUUGCCUCCCCCCCUCUAGCGUGCCUCCUCUGUUGGAUCUCAGUUCCUUUCAUGAAUGAAAGAAGCCUGUCCAUUCCUAGAUGGGACACACUGGAUUCAGCCACAAUAAACAGGAUAGUUAAAGUCUUCUUACAGGGAUUUAAUUUCCUGUGAAAAUUUACAAAAUAAUGGGCGAAUGUAAACAAGAUAAAUUUGAAAAGUUCUGUAUUUUAAUAUUGUAUAGGGUUUUUUUCUAAUUCCCCAAAAUUCAUGCAAGUUUUAAAGCCCUUUAAACUUUACAGCUGCCUUGGGACAUGUUUUUGGAAUGAAUCUUUCCAGUCCAAGUACAAUAAACUCUGAUUUGGAGUAUACAUAUUUAAGCUCAAAAAACCCCCAAGGGAAAAAAUAAUGAGAAACACA